AAAUUGCCCCAUACUCAUGUGAUCAACUGGGGAAGGAAAAUCAUGGACACAUACUUUCCAAAGCUCACAACACUUUUCUCUCCCGUCUUGCAGAUGUAGAGGAGGCUGACUCCCAUCCCCAAGCGUCAAUUUUUGGAAUCAUCCUAGGUUGUAUGAUUGGAAUCGUGGCCAUGGGAGGUCUGGGGUUGUUCCUGUACCCCAGGUUUCACUCAGCAGCCAGGCGUCGCUUACACGAAACCCACCGUGACCAGUGCUUCAGUGUAUCGGUAGGAACAGAAUAGAAACCCACACUGGGUGAAGACAUACAAUAUUCAACACUAGCCUUCAAGGCCAACCACCCUCCUCAGCCACAGCCAGCGGCCGUCUGGCCUUUGGAAAGCAACAUAAUAUGCUCAGAAAUCAAGAAGAAAUGAUCAGGGAUAAUUCUCCCCUGCUGGUCUCCUCAGUGCAAACAUCUCCUAUGACUUACCUCCUUUGCCUGGAUUGUUCUGGGGAAGUGUGUUGAAAAAAAUUGGUUUCCUUGUCUGAAGAGAAGAAUGUAGAAUUCUCCCACAUAGGCACACAGUCACCUGGUGUAAUAAAAAGUUUUAGCAGUGGG